UAAGCCCGAUGAACCUGAAUAUCUGAAUUGAGAAAUUCAAUAUUAUGUUUUAAAUUAUUAAUUUAAUUAAAAACUGGUAUGCACUUUUCUCAUAGUAAGACAUUGCGAUCCAUUAGUAUAUUAUACAUAUGUUUAUCAAACGGCCUGUAUGUAUAGUUUAUUCUAGCUGUGAUGAUUUCUAAUUAUCAUAUGAAUAAAUACAUUGCAGUGACCUGAUAAAUAACUGAUGGAGCUUAAAAAUCAUGCAAACAUGCUCAUAUUUAUGUAUCACGAUUUUUAAAUAUUUAUUUAUUUUUAAAUGCAGUGAUAGCAUGUAUUUGAUUAGCAAUGCGAAUGAUUUGGGAUACCUUCGGGACCCGUCUUGAAACACGGACCAAGAAGUCUAACAUGUGUGCAAGUCAUUGGGUAUUUGUUGAAACCUAAAGGCGCAAUUAAAAUAACUAUUAUGGGAUUACAAGUAAUUUAACAUAUUACUUCUCCAUCCCGGGGCGUUCUAUACGAACAUGGUUUAAGCAAUUAAAUCCUCUGUUCAAGAGCGUACCUUGAGCAUACAUGCUGUGACCC
rnacentral:rRNA from 1 species